AGUUGAGUAAAUCAGUGAACCUAUCUGUUUGCUGCUUGUUGGUUCUUUACCUAUUCAACUCAAAGAUUCAAAGUUACUUUCAUUUGUUUCAGUGACUAUUCACACUUCACAGAGAGUUAUGAUGAUGCAGUUGAAUCUGUCUUCUCGACACAACACACUGUAAAAAAAAAAAAAAUAGGAAGGUAAAAAGAAAGAGAGAUUAGUACUUUCAUGGUGAAACAAGUAAACAGAAGAACCUAUAACUCACAACAAAUC
rnacentral:lncRNA from 1 species